rnacentral:rRNA from 1 species
UACAGAGGUCCCAAGCGUUGUCCGGAUUCACUGGGCGUAAAGGGUGCGUAGGCGGUCGGGUAAGUCUGAUGUGAAAUCUCACAGCUUAACUGUGAAACUGCAUUGGAUACUAUCCGGCUCGAGGAAUGGAGGGGAGACUGGAAUGCUUGGUGUAGCAGUGAAAUGCGUAGAUAUCAAGUGGAACACCAGUGGCGAAGGCGAGUCUCUGGACAUUUCCUGACGCUGAGGCACGAAAGCCAGGGGAGCAAACGGG